UCGGUGCUGGGCCAGGUGAACCGUCCCGGCCGCUAUCCGGUGGACGGCAAGCGCAGCCUGAUGGACAUGCUGGCCCAGGCCGGCGGCAUCGGCCC
rnacentral:tRNA from 1 species